rnacentral:rRNA from 1 species
AACGAACGCUGGCGGAAUGCCUAACACAUGCAAGUCAAACGAAACCUCCGGGUCUAUGGGCGCACGGGGACUUACGCGUAGAGAACCUGCCCUUCAGUUCGGAACAACUUCCCGAAACGGAUGCUAAUACCUGAUAAUGUGAUUAUACGAAAGAGUUAUCGCCUUAAGAUGGGCUCGCGUUUGAUUAGCUUGUUGGUAGAGUAAGAGCCUAGGAGAGGGACGAUCCAUAGCUGGUGUGGGAGGGUGAUCAGCCACACUGGGACUGAGACACCGCACAGACUCGUACGGGAGGCGGCAGUGGGGAAUAUUGGACAAUGGGGGAAAGCCUGCACCAGCAAUGUCGGGUGAGUGAUGAAGGCCGUAGGGUUGUAAAGCUCUAUUUCCGGGGAUGAUAAUGACAGUACCAGGAGAAUAAGCGCCGGCUAACUCCGUG